rnacentral:rRNA from 1 species
CACGUAGGGCGCAAGCGUUGUCCGGAAUUAUUGGGCGUAAAGAGCUCGUAGGUGGUUUGUUACGUCUGCUGUGAAAACCUAGGGCUUAACCCUGGGCUUGCAGUGGAUACGGGCAGACUAGAGGUAGGUAGGGGAGAAUGGAAUUCCUGGUGUAGCGGUGAAAUGCGCAGAUAUCAGGAGGAACACCUGUGGCGAAGGCGGUUCUCUGGGCCUUACCUGACACUGAGGAGCGAAAGCGUGGGGAGCGAACAGG